rnacentral:rRNA from 1 species
ACUCCUACGGGAGGCAGCAGUGGGAAUCUUGCGCAAUGGACGAAAGUCUGACGCAGCGACGCCGCGUGCGGGAUGACGGCCCUAGGGUUGUAAACCGCUUUCAGCAGGGACGAAAUUGACGGUACCUGCAGAAGAAGCCCCGGCCAACUACGUGCCAGCAGCCGCGGUAAUACGUAGGGGCUAGGCGUUGUCCGGAUUUAUUGGGCGUAAGAGCUCAGUAGGCGGUUUGGUAAGUCGGGUUGUGAAAACUCCAGGCUCAACCUGGAGAGGCCACCCGAUACUGCCCUGACUCGAGUCCGGCAGAGGAGUGUGGAAUUCCCAGUGUAGCGGUGAAAUGCGCAGAUAUUGGGAGGAACACCGGUAGCGAAGGCGGCACUCUGGGCCGGUACUGACGCUGAGGAGCGAAAGCGU